rnacentral:misc_RNA from 1 species
AGGGUGCCGAAGCGGCUGCUGAGAUAUCAAGCACCGGCAAAUCCUCAGACUGCUGAGAAGGAGAGGUACAUUGUGAUGUACGAGUACGAGAGUCAGACAGGGGAUCCGACUCACUUAUACAUAAAUGGGAAGUCGUAUGAGGCGGCGGUGACGGAGACGCCACGAGAGGGGAGUAGUGAGGUGUGGAAUGUGAUAAAUCUGACAGACGACAACCACCCGCUGCACAUACACCUGGGGUUGUUUGUGGU